UAUUUGUAGGUAUUAGCAGCUGAGUUGUCAAUUCAACCACACCUGGAGAUUAAUUAUCUGCAGCAGCGUGAUCAGUAGCAAAGUAAUAUGGUAAUUUUAACGGUAAUAGUGAUAGCAGUAGUUUUAUAGAAAGUGCAACAAUAACGAUAGCAAUGGUAACUUAUCAAGAACAAUAUAGGAUAAAUUCGUAGGCAUUGGAUCGGUAAUUUGUUGGAUGAUAUUCAUCAUGUGACAGUCAUAACCUAGGGCGAUACGGCACUGGCUCCAGUUCAUAAAUAUAAUGUAGGCAUGUAUUCCGUAAAUAGUCAUACGUGCUUAUGGAAAGAACUUGCAUGACAUCUUUUGUCCUACCCUCCCGUGGCAGCGGGGUCCAAUUGGAAACUAAGGGAUAUUAAGGCCUCCUUUUAAUAGAGAACCGGAACAACGCAUUAACACACGGUGAAUACAUGAACUCCUCAAACUACGGUCAUCACCGGGAGUGGUCCCGACUAUUGUCACUCCGGGGUUGCCGGAUCAUAACACGUAGUAGGUGACUAUAACUUGCAAGAUCGGAUCUAGAACAUGGACAUAAUGGUGAUAACAUAAACGGUUCAGAUCUAAAAUCAUGGCACCCGGGCCCAAAGUGACAAGCAUUAAGCAUGGCAAAGUCAUAGCAACAUCAAUCUUAGAACAUAGUGGAUACUAGGUAUCAGGCCCUAACAAAACUAACUAGAUUACAUGAUGAAUCUCAUCCAACUCCUCACCGACCAGCGAGCCUAUGAAGGAAUUACUCACACCCGAUGGGGAGCAUCAUGGAAUUGGUGAUGGAGAAGGGUUGGUGAUGAUGAAGAUCGGAGAUCCCCCUCUCCGAAGCCCCAAACGGACUCCAGAUCUGGCCUCCCGAUGAAGAACAGGAGGUAACGGUGGUUCCGUCUCGUCGAUCAUGAUAAUUCUUUCUCCCUGAUUUUUCUGGAAAAAUGGGAUUUUAUAGUGUCGGUUUCAGAGUCUGCGGGGCCACCAGGUGGGGACAUGAUGUAGACCGAACCUCGUGGCGAGAUCCGAUCUGUCGUUGUUGCCCAAUCUUUCACGAAACUCCACCACUAGCAGUAGCAACCUCUCGCCCGCGCACGCGAUGUACACGAAGUAGAGGGUUUGAACCUUGCGGCCCAGCACGAGAAAACCAAUCUCGGCGAAGGUGCUCACGCCCAAAACAAUUUCCACGAAGAGAAAUCGCAACACAGAGGUUUUCUAAAGAUCCCUCCAAAACAUGAUACGGGUGUCUACCCAGAAAAACACAUCGUGUCUAUUUCAUAAAAAAUAACCUAAGCUUUACAAUGACGCAUCAUGGCUUUAUAUAUUAGCCAAUCCAUCUGACUUGAGCAACAAACCGAACUAUUCAUCAAUUGAUAUCUCUCAUGGCUAAACAUCAAAGGGAACUAAUUCUGUUGUAGGUUCGUGUGUCUUCUCUGAUUGCAUGGCAGGUGGACCCCAUCCAAUUUCCUUUAAGGAAAGAAGACUCCAUGUGCUGCAUCUUCUACAUGUUCCUCCCUGAUACGUCUCUUUGCCCGGCAAGAAUAAAUAUAAAAAUCUAAAUUGCAUUGAUUUCCUUCUUUUUUUGAACAGAACAAGGCACCAAAAGGUGCCCAAUAUCAUUAACAGGUCAUAACAACAGUACAAGAGAGAGUACAUAUGGCUUGAAUAGAGAUAGGGAAAAGGGAAACAACCAAAGAAAAUGAGCUGUUAAAAGCUAGCAAAGAUAGGUUGACCAAAAGUCAACCAGAUGAACUACAUCUAGAACAGAUGUGAUACACAUGAACUGAGACGCAUACAAGAGAAGUAGCAUCAGCCAAGCUUAACACAAAUGUGACUGAUGGCCACCAGCAAGCUAAGCUCUUUGUAGACUUCAGUAAUAAUCGACUGUCUGAUGUUGAGAUGCAGACCUGAACUAGUAGCAGAAAGGAGAGAAGAGCUGCCUGAACAAGAAUCCAUCCUGCUGCUAGAAACAAUACACUUUGUGCACCUGAAAACCUGAAAAAAUUAAAAUCACCCAAAAUGGCAGACACUGGACAGUCAUCGAAAGCAUGAGAGUGAGAGGAAGAAUCCAGAAUAGAACCACGAACAGACUGAAAAACCUGCUGAGCAAGGUUGUGAGCAACUUCAUUCAGGUUCCUAGAAAUAUGAAAUACUUGAGAGUUAAGAUGAGCAGUAGAUGUAACAAAGGAAGCCAGUUCUUUUCUGAUGUUCCAAGGGGCAGCCGAAUGGGUUAUCUUCCUAGAAGCCACAGCUGAAGCUAGAGAGAGACAAUCAGUUAAAAAUGUUGGUUGUUGUACACUAAGACUGGCUGCUAAAUGAGCUGCAUAUGCAAGAGCAACUGCUUCUGCUUGAAUAGGAGUAGAAGUAGGAGGCGCUGAAGCUUGAACCUGAAUGUUAAUUUCUCUCCGAGGAGAAGGUAUGCAAAAGUAAACUCCUAAACCUGUCUUUACUUCCCCUUGAGCAAGACCUGGAAUUUUUGAAGAUCUAAAGGUUGCAUCAGAAAAGAUUUUAGUACCAUUAAUCAACAUAUCAGAUUUAAGAGUCUGCCCUUGUUUAGGAACAACCUGAGCCUCAAGAUGGUUUUUAGCACAAAUCUGAUUAUUAGAAGGGAGGAAAGAAUCCUCAUGCAAUGCAAUGUCAAUAUGAGCAGCAGCAAUAUGCACUUUGUAAGGAAGACAUCUUUUCCUUUCAAACAAGAAAUCAUUUCUAGCUUUCCAGAUACACCAUAAAAAGUUCAAAACAUUUUGCAAGGAAGCAUAAGGAUGACCCAUAGUAACCAUAUGAAUGAGAAUAGCGUGCAUUGAAUUAUGGCCCUGAACAAGAGAGACGGAUCUGAGAAACCAAGGAGCAGAAAACCAGGCAGCUCUAGCAAAAUCACAAAGAAAGAAGAGAUGAAAUUCAUCCUCUUGCAGGGCACACCUACAACAAGUCUGAGAAAUAUAGUGAAAAAACGGCCUGCUCUAAUACCUGCCGGCAAAGCUUUACUAAGAAGCCUCCAAGCAAAAGUUUGGACUUUAGGCAACAAAUUUUUCUGCUUCCAAAUGACUUUGAGAAAGUUAUUUAACUCAAGAGAAACCUGAAGAGGAGCAGUUCUAGGAUGAGAGUGAAUGGCUUGCAAACAAAGGUUGUAGGCAGCUUUAGAAGAACAAAUCCCAUCAGGAGCCAAGGGCCAACAGAUCAAAUCUUCAUUAUUAUCCUCAAUGAUAUCAAUGUUAAUUAUUUGAGAAGCAAGAGGCUGCUGAAAUAAAGAGAAAAUAAGUUGAUGAUUCCAGUUUUUUUGCCCAGGCAGCCAAAGAUCUCUAACCAAAGAAGGAUAAAUAAAACCUGCUUGUUGAGUUAUAAGAAAAUCAUGAAUGGAAUUCCAAAAAGGACACCAAGGCAUACUCCACAAAGAGAUGUUUCCUUUAGUAAGCUGAUAGAAAGCAUAAUCUUUCAGUUUGGGAAGCAUUUUUAAAACAGAAGCCCAGAAAGCUGACUUAGGAGGGGCCACAGUGGCCUUCCAAAUAGUAGCAGUAGGAAAGUAUUUAGCCUGAAGAACACGAUAUAAAUGAGAAGAAGGGUCUUUAGCUAACCUCCAGGACGCAGCAAGAAUUAGGCUUUCGUUUAUUGCUUUUAAGUUUCUGAUGCCUAGUCCACCUUCUGCCUUAGAACUGGUGAUAUCCCUCCAAGCUCUGAGACAAAGACUCCUCCUAGAAUCUGCUUCUCGCACACCUGCCCACUAAAAAUUCCUAAUGAUAGCAGUAAGUUUGGCAAUGAACUUCUUGGAGAACAAAAUAUUAGCCAUGUAGUAAACCGGGAUAGCAGAGAAGACAGAGCGAAUAAGUUCAAGACGAGCAGCAUGGGAAAGCAUGUUAGCCUUGUAAGAGGGAAGCUUCUUUAAAAAUUUAUCUAACACAAAGUUGUAAGCUACACCUCUAUUUUUAGCAGGCAAAAUAAGAGGGCGGCCCAAAUGAGUGAAAUUAGCAUCAAGAUUAGCCACAGGAAAAAUAGACUUAAUGUCAUUGAUAAUGGCCUGAGACACAUGAGAACUAAAAAAAGAUGGCAGAUUUAUUCCAAUUAGGGGUUUGACCAGAAAGAUCACAAAAGUGUUGAAUCAAGUUAGCCAUAGUCUGAGCUUCCUGAAAAGUAGCUUGCCCGCAAACCAAAAGAUCAUUUGCAAAAAGGAGGGAAUGCACAGAAGGGCAAUUUGGACCAAGAGAAAUUUCCCUUAAAUGACUAGCCUGCAAAGCUUCAUUGAGCAUAAUUGAAAGUUCAUUAAUAGCAAGGACGAAUAAGUAAGGAGACAUAGGACAGCCUUGUUGGAUUCCACGGAAACUUUUAAACUUUUGAGAAGGCUGGCCAUUAAUGAGCAUAGAGAACGUGGGAGAAGAAAUGAAUGCAUAGACCAAAUUAAUGAAAUGACCAUGGAGCCCUUUACUUGACAGAGCGUAAACAAUAAAAUUCCAUUCAUAGCGAUCAAAAGCCUUUGCAAGAUCAAUCUUAAGCAUGAAAGCAUCCUAUUUCCAAGAUUUGAGAGAAAAAGAGUGAGCAAUCUCUUGAGCAAUAAUAAUAUUGUCACUAAUCCUUCUACCCUCAAUAAAAGCUUGUUGAGUAGGGUCAAUAAAAUCUGGAAGGUGAGGUUUGAGCCGAUUAGCCAAAGAUUUAGCAAUGAUUUUAUAGAGCACAUUACAAAGACUAAUAGGCCUAUAAUCCAUGGGCACAAGAGGAACCAACUUUUUAGGGAUGAGAGCAAUAUUGGUGUCAUUAAUAUGAGAAGGAAGAGUGGCAGUAGAAUAAAAAUUAGACACAAGCUGAGUUACCUCAUCUCCAAUCCAAUCCCAAGUAGCUAAAUAAAAUUCCACAUUGAAGCCAUCUGGCCCUGGAGAAGCAUUGAGUUUCAUGUCCUUAAGAAUCUGAAAAAUCUCAUCUUUAUCAAGGACAGAAUAAGUAGGAUUGUCAUUAUCAUUAGACCAUUGGGUAAGAGGGAAAGGCAUGUCCAUGUUGUCAUUAGAAGAAGAGAAAAUGUGUCUAAAAUAGUUAACAAAAGUAUGCAUGAUGGCGCCAGGUUUGAAAUGGAUAAUGUCAUGCUCAUCUUUGAUUGAACAAAUAGUAUUUCUCUUUCUACGUUUAAGAAAAGCUUGGUGAAAAAAUUUAGUAUUACGAUCACCCUUAACUGCCCAAUUCUUCUUGCUACGUUGCUUAUAGAAUUUAUUAACCUGAGUGAGAGUUUGCUCAUACCUGGCGGUGAGAGAGUUUUCCAGAACCGGGUUUUGCUGAUGAAGAGGAAGCUGUUGUAACUCAUUAAUCCGGGCCUCCAAAUCUGCUAGGUUGUGCUGAAGGGGUUUUUUCUUCUUGCACCAAAUUUUUAAAGAACCUGCCAAAGAAGAUGAUUUUGCUGCAAAAGAAGGGAAAGAACUAGCAUUCCAAGUAUUUUUGGCAAAAGACUGAAAGUCUUUCUCCAUGAGCCACCAAUUCUCAAAUUUGAAAAUUUGCUUAGGUUUCACAAAUUUACUCUCAGUAGAAAUUAAAAUAGGAGCAUGAUCACUGAGAAUGAUGGGAAGGUUCAAAACUUAGGUAUUAGGAUAAUAAGAGCACCAAUCAGAAUUAACCAAGCAACAAUCGAGGCGUCUAUGAAUAGGAUUAGAAGUAUUCUGCCUACCACACCAAGUAUAAGCAGGGCCACUAAAGACAAUGUCAAACAAGCCAUAAUUUUUAACCAAGGAUCGGAAAGCAUGCAUCCGAUAGUAGUUGAUAUUACCAAUACAACCAUCAACAUCAUACAGGAUAUCAUUCAAGUCUCCCAUACAUAUCAUGGGUUUACCUAGACUAUCAUAUACAAAAGCAGCCACUUGGUCCCAGCUGGCAUUAGUCUGCCUAUGAUACGGGUCACCGUAUAUACAAAUGAGGCAAAAUUUGACCCCAGAAGCUACAUGGACUACAUUAGCUAAGAUAUAGUGAAAAGCAGCGGUAUGAACAGAAACUUUGAGCUCAUCAGUCCACAUAAGCCAAAGACCACCCGAGGCACCUCUAGAAGGAACAACAAAAGCAUUAGAAACAUCAAACCUAUUAACAAGAUCAACUGAAUGGACUUCGGAGGAUUUAAUUUCUGAAACAAAGGUUACCUGAACAUUAGUGGACCGCAUCAGAUUAGCAAGGUAAAGCAUGCACUCACUGCCAAGGCCCCUGCCCAUACCUCGGCAGUUCCAAGCAAUGGCCUUCAUGGCGCAUGAGGUGCGUUAGGACCAUGCGCCGCUGCCCAAGAAACUGAGUGAGCCAUUCCUUCCCCCUCAUGGUCACUGAGCUGCAUAUCACCUGCCUCCUGACGGCUGCGAAUAUCAACCGUGUCACCUUGGCCAGUGGAGCUAAUGUUAUCUUGAUCUUCCAUUGUGGUUUGACCUCGGGUGUCAAGUGUGCGACCACCAACAUUCAAACCCAAAUGGUGGAGGCGAUCAGUUCUAGGAGGAGAGAUAGGACCUUGGUAGGAGCUGUCUGCAUCUGCACUAAGAGAGUUUGAAGGCGUCCCAAUCGGCCACAGAUCAUGGCUUGCUCCUGCCUCAUUGCCUUCUGCCAAAGAAAAUCUGCUCUGAUCCGUAACGGCCCCGAGACCCACAAUUGCCACAGGUUUGAUGCUGCCUCUGCACAACACACUGCUAUAGCCCACCUGACCGGUGCCACUGUCACGGUGCCAAGUGGUAGAACCAUAGCUACGGCAAGGAAACUGGUUGAAAAUGGGACACAUACCUCCAGGUCUCCUAGUUGGGGGAACAUCCCAUCUACUAACUCCAAAUCGACGGCGGCGCCCCGAGCCAGAUGCAUCUCCUGCAGCAGGGGAAACUGGCUUGAUUCUUGUUUGAGAAGCACCGGCACGGGCAGUAGCUGCAGAUCCUCCGGAGCACUGAGGAGAGGCAGCCAUGGGACUCCCACCAGUCGUAGUGAAGAGGGGGGCGACUCCGAUUCGUGGCGGACCGAGUAAGCCCGAACCAGAGCCGGGAGGUGGAGCUGCCUCAGAUGUGUCUCAGGCUGGGCCCGCGGCAAAUCGGUCGACCGCCGGGCAUCCCUGAGAGCCGGCUGCACCAUCUUCUUCCACAAUGAGCUCAAGUAUCUUCAGCGGAGGCAAAGGAGGAUCUGGAAGAAGAGCAAGGGGGCGCUUGGGGCUGAGUCUUGGAGGAGAAGAGGAGCUGGGAUGAAUAGAAGGACCAUAGUUGCCAGAAAUUUGGGUCGAUCGGGUCGAGGAACGGGGUCGCGGGACGCGGAUCGCCACAGUUGAAAUUGAGGGUCAAAGAAGGCUACUCUUCUUCUUCUUCGGGACGCUAUUUGGCAUCGCGGGACGCGACCCCGCUACAACCGGGUCGAAAAUCCGGGUCAUUACAUUCCUAAAUCCCCCAGAAUUUGCGCAUCUAAUAACUAUUUCCAUUAAAUUAUCAUCAUUAAAGGCUCGUAAGUCAGAUGACGGCUACUUCGGCGUGAUUUCUCAACUGCCUGUUUCUUUCACACGAAGCGUGAUGUUCCUCUCUAAUACCUCUAUUGUCUUCUUCUCUUCCUUGGCAAAGCUUACGCCAUGGAUCCAUGUAGAAUCCUCUAGCCGCCCAGCACUCUCCACCUUCCAGCCACGGAUUCUCAAGCGGGUUGCCGAUCUCGUUCGAUGUUUGGAGGGAGCGGGACUAGAGAGGCCGAAUAUGGCAGCGGACAGCUCCAUGGCCGGCCGCCGACGGCCAAGUGGCAGAUCGCCCCGCCCUAGUGCCCUAGUAAGGCUUAAUUUCUCACGAAUCUUCAUGCAUACUCUUUGCUUCUUCCAUACCAAUCCGGAUCAGCACCCAUCGAUCGGGAUCGCGACCCAUCCAAGGACCCAGCUCGACCCUACCUCGCCCCCGACCCUCGAUCCGGGUCGAUCGACCCCUGGUCAGGGAUCGCAUCGUCGACCCGCGAACCAGGCUACUAUGCGAAGGACUAAUGAUUCCUUUCCCACUAAACCUAUUAUUCUCCAUAUUGGCAGGAAUUGCAGUGGAAGCGCAGUACUGCGGAUUGAGAGGAGCAAACUGAGCAGGCAGACUGAGCAAAUUUGGGGGAGAAAUAGGAUUUGCAGGUUCAUGCUGACGAGAGGUGUCCAGGGUUGAAGAUGGAAGGAUAACUGGAGUGGACUGAAUGAAAGUAGAAAACUGACCCUGCUGAAGCUGAAUGUGCUGAGAAGCCUGCUGGCCCAACACUGGCCCAUAAUUCUGUCUGAGAAUAUUCAUCUCUUCUCCAGGAGUGUACUGGAGGUCCAUAAGAAGCAUUUGCGUCCCCCGACUGAGCCGGGUCAGGCAGAGAGGCAGGCAGGUGAAUUUGUUUGUCAGGGAAUUGCAUUGCAAUGUCUCCCGUUUUAUUGCACCGCCCUAUGUCUGCCUCAGAAAUAACUGCAGUAGGUGGAACUGUUGAUGCUAGAAGAUUGUGCUCACCGCUUUGACUAUGAACAGUGCUCUGUUGAAGUUGAGACGGAGGAACUCUUUCCUGAACCUGUUGCUUACUUGCUUCCUUAGAUGAAUUACCCUGUUGUAACCUCUGAAUUUGCUUGUUAAUUUUCCGUAAUGACAACUCCUUAGGACCAACAUCUCUGCAUUUUUCCUCAGAACUGACCUUAGUUUUCCCUUUAGCAUCCUCCAUCACUAUAAGAAAUAUGUUAACUUGCGACCAUCACUAUUGGUCGCUGAAAGGUCGUUGUUUUUUAUUUGUGACCUUUUUGUGACCAAAAACAGAUGGUCAAAAAAUGGCAGUCAUAAACUGAAAUUAACGACCUUCUCUGUGAGAAGGUCGUGGAAGGCAACGACUAAAACAAAAGGUCAUUGGUUCAACGACCUUCUGUUUUGGUCACUGGCUGUCUGCCCAGGCCACGUCGGAUCCGACGUGGCAAAACUGCGACCAAAUGAGAAGGUUGUUGAUAAGAAUCAGCCCGGUCCAGUUCAGUGUUUUACAUGGGCCGAGCCCAAAGAUUCAGCCUUUUACAUAUAUUUUCCCUAUUAAUUUUGGUCAGCUACAUGGGCCAAGCCCAACAUUAUAGCCUUUUUAUUUCCAGGUCCGUGGUCCUUUUUUGGACCAAUUCUUUUUUUGGUCGCAUCUAUUUCUCAAUUGGGCCUCGGCCUUUUUACAGUCAAUUUCAUUAAUUAUUAUUUUUUCCUUGUGAAUAUUAUUUGGAAAAUGGCCUUUUUAGAUGCCAAAUACUAUUAGGUCCCACUUGUCAGGUUCUAAUUAAAGAUAGCCAAGGUUUAAUUUCCACACAAUUAUUUCAGUCAGAACAGCAAAGAAAUGAAAAUUAUCAAACCACAUGCCAAUUUUGGCUAAUAGCACAAUCUUUACAUAAUUCAUUUCACCAUUGCAUGUGAUACUAUCACAACAUAUAACUACUACUACAAAUAUACUCCAGACUUCGUCACUUCAAGCCGAAGCUCCUUCAAUGAGAGGAAACACCAUUUCUGGAUAUGUUCGUACAGGCUAAACAAAGGCAUCUAACAAUAAACCAAAAGAGUUAGAAACAAAAUAAAAACAAAAUAUAGAAAGCAGCUAGGGACUAAAUCAUGAAGCAUCUCUACAUGUAACAUGUAACAAUAAUAACCACAAGGACCAGCUCACAGAAACAACACAAAAGACAAGAUCACAAAAGACAAGAUCGCAUAGUUGU
rnacentral:lncRNA from 1 species